AAAGCAGGAUGUUUUUGGUAGAACACUAGUAGCGCCAGAGGAUGUUAAUAGGAGUUACAUGAAAAAAGUCUUCUAUAGUCAUAUACGUAAUAUAUUUAUUUUUUAGUUUAUCUUUUUUGAGAUAGGGUCUCAGUAUGCUCCCUAGGCUGGUCUCAAACUCCUGGGUUCAAACAAUCCUCCCGCCUCAGCCUCCCUAAGCAUGUUCUUUUUUAUUUUUUUUUCCUUUUUCUUGCAAGAAUUACAAGGGGUCAGGUACAGUGGUUCAUGCCUGAAUCCCAGCACUUUGGGAGGCCAAGAUGGAAGGAUGGCUUGAGCCCAGGAGUUUGAGAGUAGCCUGGACAACACAGUGAGACUUCAUCUCAAAACAUUAAAAAAUUAGCUGGGUGUGGUGGCUCCCACCUGUAGUCCCAGCAACUCAGGAGGCUGAGGUGGGAGGAUCGCCUAAGCCCAGGAGGUUGAGGCUGCAGUGAACUGUGAUUGCACCACUGCACGAUCACAGAUCACUGCACUCUAGCCUGGGCUGUCCAGACAGCACUUGACUGCAGGAGUUAACUGAGCCUUUGCUAUGCUAAUCUGAGCUGUGAGUUGACAAGACAAGAAUAAUGAAUGCAGCAGUUCCCAAAGUGGUUUCCUUGCCUCCACCGCUUACCUUCCAACCCGCCAUCCACAACGCUGGUGGAGUUUUCACUCUUAAACCAAGUUUGAUCCUGUAUUUCCCUUGGAGGGAAGCAUCUGAUGGCUCCCACUGCCUAUGCUGUCCAGUUUCAAGCUCUCAGCCUAAACCGUCCAAUAUCUGGACCUUGUCAUUUUUGCUUUCUCUCUGGCCAGCCUAACUUCCCUCCCCUCCCCCAACUCACUAAAUACCCAAUUUUCCAGCUGCACCGAACAGGACUGAUGAUUCACUCCUCCCCAGUGGUACUCACCAUUUGCUGAGACUCUACUGUGUGCCAGGUACUAUGCAUAAAUUGACUUUAAUCCCCACAAUGAGUCUUAGAAACAGGCAUCAUUACCCCCACUGGAUAUAUUAGUAAAAGGAGGCUCCUCUUGACAUGCCCAAAGUCACAACUAGGAAGUGGCAGGGCUAAGAUUUGAACCAAGAUGUAUCUGCUACAAAGCCCAUGCAAUUUUCACUACACCACACUCACCUCCUCACUUUCACACACGCUGUUUUUGUUUUGUUUUGUUUUGUUUUUGAGAUGGAGUCUCGCUCUGUCGCCCAGGCUGGAGUGCAGUGGCACAAUCUCAGCUCACUGCAGGCUCUGCCUCCGGGGUUCACGCCUUUCUCC
rnacentral:lncRNA from 1 species